rnacentral:rRNA from 1 species
GACGAACGCUGGCGGCGUGCUUAACACAUGCAAGUCGAGCGGAAAACUUCGGUUUUCAGCGGCGGACGGGUGAGUAACACGAGGGCAACCUGCCUCACAAUGAGGGAUAGCCUUCCGAAAGGAAGAUUAAUACCUCAUAACACAAGAGAAACGCAUGUUUCUCUUGCCAAAGAAUUUCGUUGUGAGAUGGGCCCGCGGCGCAUUAGCUUGUUGGUGAGGUAACGGCUCACCAAGGCUUCGAUGCGUAGCCGACCUGAGAGGGUGAUCGGCCACAUUGGAACUGGGACACGGUCCAGACUCCUACGGGAGGCAGCAGUGGGGAAUAUUGCACAAUGGAGGAAACUCUGAUGCAGCAACGCCGCGUGAGUGAUGAAGGUCUUCGGAUUGUAAAGCUCUGUCUUCUGGGACGAUAAUGACGGUACCAGAGGAGGAAGCCACGGCUAACUACGUGCCAGCAGCCGCGGUAACAC